rnacentral:rRNA from 1 species
CUCCGCAUGCGAGCAAUCGCGACGGGGGGACCCCAAGUGCCACUCUUAACGGGGUGGCUUUUCUGAAGUGUAAAAAGCUUCAGGAAUAAGGGCUGGGCAAGACCGGUGCCAGCCGCCGCGGUAACACCGGCAGCUCAAGUGGUGGCCAUUUUUAUUGGGCCUAAAGCGUUCGUAGCCGGUCUGAUAAGUUUCUGGUGAAAUUCUACAGCUUAACUGUGGGAAUUGCUGGAAAUACUAUCAGGCUUGGGGUCGGGAAAGGCUAGAGGUACUCCUGGGGUAGGGGUGAAAUCCUGUAAUCCUGGGAGGACCACCUGUGGCGAAGGCGUCUAGCUGGAACGAACCUGACGGUGAGGAACGAAAGCCAGGGGCGCGAACCGGAUUAGAUACCCGGGUAGUCCUGGCCGUAAACGAUGCGGACUUGGUGUUGGGAUGGCUUCGAGCUGCCCCAGUGCCGAAGGGAAGCUGUUAAGUCCGCCGCCUGGGAAGUACGGCCGCAAGGCUGAAACUUAAAGG